GACGAACGCUGGCGGCGUGCUUAACACAUGCAAGUCGAACGGAAAGGCCUGCUUUCCCUUGUGGAUUGCGGGUACUCGAGUGGCGAACGGGUGAGUAACACGUGAGUGAUCUGCCCCCAACUUGGGUAUAAGCCUGGGAAACUGGGUCUAAUUCCCGAUAGGACUGCAGGGUGGUGCCUGUGGUGGAAAACGAUUUUCUAGUGGUUGGGGAUGAGCUCGCGGCCUAUCAGCUUGUUGGUGGGGUAAUGGCCUACCAAGGCGGCGACGGAUAGCCGGCCUGAGAGGGUGGACGGCCACAUUGGGACUGAGAUACGGCCCAGACUCCUACGGGAGGCAGCAGUGGGGAAUAUUGCACAAUGGGCGGAAGCCUGAUGCAGCGACGCCGCGUGGGGGAUGACGGCCUUCGGGUUGUAAACUCCUUUCGACCGCGAGGAAGCCACCUGGUUGGAAGGGUGGUGACGGUAGUGGUAGAAGAAGCACCGGCUAACUACGUG
rnacentral:rRNA from 1 species